rnacentral:rRNA from 1 species
UACGUAGGGGGCUAGCGUUGUCCGGAAUCAUUGGGCGUAAAGAGCGUGUAGGCGGCCCGGUAAGUCCGCUGUAAAAGUCAAAGGCUCAACCUUUGAAUGUCAGUGGAUACUGCCCGGGCUAGAGUCCGGAAGAGGCGAGUGGAACUCCUGGUGUAGCGGUGGAAUGCGCAGAUAUCAGGAAGAACACCAACGGCGAAGGCAGCUCGCUGGGACGGUACUGACGCUGAGACGCGAAAGCGUGGGGGAGCGAACAGG